rnacentral:rRNA from 1 species
UGACCUGCGGAAGGAUCAUUGUCGAAUCCUGCAAAAGCAGACCGCGAACACGUUAAACCACAUCGGGAUCUUGGGUCGGGGGCAACCCCAACCCUCGCUCCCCCUCCGCAGCGCGCGCGUCUCGGCGUGCGCGGUGCGGCUAACGAACCCCCGGCGCGGCAUGCGCCAAGGAAAACUCAUAGAAGCACCCGCCCCCCGUCGCCCCGUUCGCGGUGCGCGGUGGGGGGAGUGGGUGUCUCUCCAAUGUCAUAACGACUCUCGGCAACGGAUAUCUCGGCUCUCGCAUCGAUGAAGAACGUAGCGAAAUGCGAUACUUGGUGUGAAUUGCAGAAUCCCGUGAACCAUCGAGUCUUUGAACGCAAGUUGCGCCCGAAGCCUUCCGGCCGAGGGCACGCCUGCCUGGGCGUCACGCAUCGCGUCGCCCCCCUCCCCAUCCGCUCGGCAACGUGCGAUCGGGUGGCGGGGGCGGAAAAUGGCCCCCCGUGUGCAGCGCCUCGCGGCCGGCCUAAAUGCGAACCCGUGGCGACUCACGUCACGACCAGUGGUGGUUGAACACU